AACUCUCUGAACUUUGGGGACCGUCCCCGAAGCGCCGGAACUCGGGGUUGGCGAGCCUGCCCCAGGAUCCCCACCCUGGGCCGCGCCCCUGCACGCCGAUCCUCUUGGUUUGCCCCCUGCGGACACGUGCGUGGACUCCGAGGACCUCGGGGGUCCCGGGCGGAGCUGACGGCCCCCAGACCGGCGCCGGGCCACGAUGCACAUGAGGAAAGUGCCUGGCUUCGUCCCAGCCUCCCCGUGGGGGCUGCGACUGCCGCAGAAGUUCCUUUUCCUUCUCUUCCUCUCGGGCCUCGUUACCUUGUGCUUUGGGGCCCUCUUCCUGCUGCCCCACUCUUCUCGCCUCAAGCGCCUCUUCCUGGCAUCCCGGACCCAGCAGCCCGGCCUGGAGGUGAUGGCCGAAGUCGCCGGCCACCCUUCGGCCCGCGAGCAGGAGCCACCCCCUAAGCCAGCCCCUGCGGUGCCGGCCCCGGGUGAAGAUGACCCCAGCAGCCGGGCGGGUCCCCGCCCCAGGAAGGGAUGGCUGCGGCGCACCCGCCCCACCGGACCGCGGGAGGAAGCCACGGCUGCCCGGGGCAGCGGUGUUGCGGCCCUGAGGCCGGGCGAGGAGAGCAUCCCAUUCAGCUUUGACUUCAGCGCGUUCCGGAGUCGCCUCCGGCACCCAGUCCUGGGGACAAGGACUGAUGAAAGUAAGGAGCCCCAGAGUCGAGUGAGAGCCCAGCGGGAGAAAAUCAAGGAGAUGAUGCGCUUUGCCUGGCAGAGCUACCGGCGCUACGCGAUGGGAAGGAACGAGCUCCGCCCGCUCACCAAGGAUGGCUACGAGGGCAGCAUGUUCGGUGGCCUCAGUGGGGCAACUAUCAUUGAUUCCCUCGACACCCUCUACCUCAUGGAGCUGAAGGAGGAGUUCCAGGAGGCCAAGGCCUGGGUGGAAGAGAGCUUCCACCUGAACGUGAGUGGAGAAGCGUCCUUGUUUGAGGUGAACAUUCGCUACAUCGGAGGGCUCCUCUCAGCCUACUACCUGACGGGAGAGGAGGUGUUCCGAAUAAAGGCCAUCAAGCUGGGAGAGAAGUUGCUGCCAGCCUUCAACACCCCCACAGGAAUCCCAAAGGGCGUUGUGAACUUCAAAAGUGGGAGCUGGGGCUGGGCCACUGCAGGCAGCAGCAGCAUCCUGGCAGAGUUUGGAUCCCUGCACUUGGAAUUCUUACACCUCACUGAGCUCUCAGGCAACCCCAUCUUCGCAAAAAAGGUCAGGAACAUCCGCAAGGUCCUCAGGAAAAUCGAUAAGCCCUUUGGCCUCUACCCCAACUUCCUCAGCCCAGUGAGUGGGAACUGGGUACAACACCAUGUCUCUGUUGGAGGACUCGGCGAUAGUUUUUAUGAAUAUUUGAUCAAAUCCUGGUUGAUGUCUGCCAAGACAGACAUGGAGGCUAAAAAUAUGUACUAUGAAGCCUUGGAGGCGAUAGAAACCUACUUGCUGAAUGUCUCUCCCGGGGGGCUGACCUACAUUGCCGAGUGGCGAGGGGGGAUUCUGGACCACAAGAUGGGACACCUGGCCUGUUUCUCAGGGGGCAUGAUCUCCCUCGGCGCUGAGGAUGCCAAGGAAGAAAAGAGGGCCCACUACCAAGAGCUGGCAGCCCAGAUCACCAGGACGUGCCACGAGUCAUACGCCCGCUCAGGCCUUGGAGAAGUACUGCCGGACGGACGCCGGCUUCUCCGGGAUCCAGGACGUGUAUAGCAGCAGCCCCAACCACGACAACAAACAACAGAGCUUCUUUCUAGCUGAGACACUGAAAUACCUCUAUCUUCUGUUCUCUGAAGAUGACACGCUCUCGCUAGAAGACUGGGUGUUCAACACUGAGGCGCAUCCACUGCCUGUGAACCACUCAGACAGCUCCAGCCAGGCCUGGCAGCGACACUGACCCUGGCCCCUGCCACUUGGGCACCUCAGGGAUGCCUUGCCUUUUUGGGAUUUGGGACUGUUCCCAAAGAGAUUGGGAAUGCAAGCCCCAUCCUGGGCAGACCCUGGACAGAUGUGUCAAACAAGCCACUUCUUUUCCUCUGUGAGGAGACAGGACUUGGAGAUGCAGUGAUGGCAGACCAAGGCCAGGUCACACCAGGCCCAGAGAUUCCUUUCUACGGAGAAUUUCUACAAAACCCACUCACUCGCCAUUCCAGGGCUAAAGGACCAGAGGUUUGCAUAUUGAUCCUAGGUGUUUGAUUAAUUUCCUUUUGGUUUGGGGAUUUUUGUUUUUGCUUGAUUUUGCUUUUUCUUUACAGUUGAGUUUUAUUACAAUUAUAAAUACAGUUUUCAAAAUCAUGUGCUUUCUAAAAUGGAGCCAUCCUAAUCAAGGAAACCUUAAAGUAUUUGUACACACACAACCCUGACCCUAUUAUCUAUAUUUUUAAUAUCUUUUGCCCAACAUUUACUCUAUGUUCAAUUACAUGUCACUUACCACAUAAUUUGAGGAGGGGUUCCCCUUUGAUUUGGACUUAAAUGUUACAAAUCACUAGUGCUAUUUUCAUUAUUGUAAUGGAAAAGUAUGUGAACUAGAAUAAAGGAGUUUAUUGAAUAAGAAAUAAGAUUGGGCUCAUUGCACAACAGUGACUCCUCGGGAAAUCACUGCAACGUGAUCAUCAGAAAGAAGAACCAACUGGCAUUUGAUUUAUUUAAGGUAUAAUUUACUAAACAAUUCCAAAUUCUAUUACUUCCCAUUCAGUUGUCCAAUAUAUUCAGGAAGUGGGAGGCCAAUCCAUUAGGUAUGGAGUUGGAGAUUUAUACUCAGGUUGAGACUUGGAAGAAGCCCAGAGAGGAGCAGCAACUUGCCUGAAGCCUCGAAGCCAGUAGAAGGCAGAGAUGAGCCUGACCCUGGGUUUUCUGGCCACCAGAGUCCUUUGUUCAUCUACUCCAUCAUUCAGCAGAUGCAUGGUGAGCACCUGCAGUGGACCAGAUGCUGGGCUAAAAGCCAGGGACACAGCUGACAGCGAUAGUCAUAAGCCCUGCAGUCAAGGGAGACAGAUGAUAAAGGUAACCUGCAGAUAGAUGAAACGGCCACAUGUUGAGGAAAUGCUACAAAGGCAAUGACAGAUGGGACUGGGCCAGCAAUCGUCAGGACCUUUCAUAGGGACCAGGGAGGACUUCUCUGGGCAGGUGACCUUCCAGCCAAGACCUAGAUGAGCAGCAGGAAGAGUUGUCUGGCAGCAGGAUGAGCAUCCUCCAAUCCCAGAACCUCUUCCUCUCCCAGUGCCCGGCACUGCUGCCUGGUGAGAGGCCUGAAACAGAGGCCACUACAGAGCAAGGCCUCACCCCACCCACACCCACACUUGCCCUUUAGCCGCACUGCCAAGGUCACAGGCAAAUGCUGAGCCCUUCCCUGAGCUCCGCUGCUUCAUCCUGGCUCAGAUCCUAAACUUCAGUAGCCUUCAGGGUGUUGGGGCUCUGGGCUGGGAAACCUGGCUUUUAAAUCCCUGCUGUGUGAAUCCAGGCACUCACCUCACCUCUCUGGGCUCUUCAUCAGGCAGAGGGAGAUUUACACCUCCUAAGAUUGCUGUGAGAAUAAAUGGGGUGCUCUUAGUGCUCUGGGGGUGCUACUUCCUUGUUCUGGGGGCUUGGACAGCCCCAGGAUCUCCUUGAGCAGGGCUGUGGGUGCACAGCCCCUGUAGCAGGAAUCCUGGCAUUCAAUACAAAAGUCUCUGAGCUCUUUCUGGGCAUCAGGGACGUGGGCCUCUGCAACCCACUGUACACAAAAGACAAAAAACUCACGCACAAACAUGGCAGGGAGAUUAGGAAGUUGAGAUACACAGAAAGAAAGAUCGUUUGCCAUCCUACUCUCUGGAAUGAAUAGUGUUAUUUUUUAUUCUAGACCUUUUUCUAUGAAUAUAUAGAAUAUAUAUUUUGCAAAUAUGGUAUCAUCCUAUACAUACUGUUUUCUUAUAAUCUGCUUUUGCAUUUAACUAUAUACUGUGAAUCUCUUUCCAUGUCAACAAAUAUACAUUUAUGUCAUCGCUGUA